GGAAUCAGUCGACUGCACUGGAUUCUGGAGUGCUGACUCAGCCACAGGACUCCAGGAGGGCAGAGAGCUAAGCGCCAGAGUGAGUUACAGGAUGAGGUGCCCACUAUGCCUGACUGGGUGAGAAGACUGGCCUCUGCCCUCAGGGGUUUACAACCUAAUAUAUCACACACGGAGCCAAUGUUUCUGAGACAUGUAAAUGUGAGAAGAAAACUGGCGUGAUUUUGUAUGCAUGCAACACCAAAUGAACAAAUGUGUACAUUUGUUCACCAAAAGAUGCUGACUAGAAUGUUCAUCGCGGCAUUAUUCAUACGAUCCCUAACUGGACACAACCAUAUGUCCAUCGAGAGAAUGGAGAUGUAGUCUCACAGUGAACCAUUCUACAACGAUGAAGAUGAACAAUCUACACACAAGAGCAUGGGCAAAUCUCAUACGCACCGUGUUGAAUGGAAGUAACCAGAUACAAAAGAGUAUGUGCCAUAUAAAUCCACUGAAAGUUCAAAGCCAAGUAAAAUUAUUCUUUGCUUUUAAGAAAUGAAGAUGGCAGGAGGAAGGGGAUGUUCUAUUUCUUCAUCUGAAUGUUGAUCACAUCGUCUAUUCACUUUGCCUCCUUGUGAACUAUGCAUUAUUCUGUGUGUAUAUGUCACCUGAAUAAUAAAAAAGUUGACUUAAAAGAA